rnacentral:tRNA from 2 species
GUGGCUGUAGUUCAGCUGGUAGAGCACCUGGUUGUGGUCCAGGAUGUCGCGGGUUCGAGUCCCGUCAGCCACCCCA